rnacentral:rRNA from 1 species
UACGAAGGGGGCUAGCGUUGCUCGGAAUCACUGGGCGUAAAGCGCACGUAGGCGGCUUUCUAAGUCAGGGGUGAAAUCCUGGAGCUCAACUCCAGAACUGCCUUUGAUACUGGAGAGCUUGAGUCCGGGAGAGGUGAGUGGAACUGCGAGUGUAGAGGUGAAAUUCGUAGAUAUUCGCAAGAACACCAGUGGCGAAGGCGGCUCACUGGCCCGAUACUGACGCUGAGGCACGAAAGCGUGGGGAGCGAUCCGG